GGGCCGGUAGCUCAGUAGGUAGAGCAUGUGCCUUUUAAGCACAGGGUCGCGGGUUCGAGCCCCGCCCGGCUCACCA
rnacentral:tRNA from 1 species